AUCCACUUUGGCAGCAUGUAUACUAAAAUUGAAGUGAUACAGAGAAGAUCAGCAUGGUUCCUGUGCAAGAAUAACAUGCAAAUUUGAGAAGAACUCCAUAUUUUU
ensembl:snRNA U6 U6 spliceosomal RNA